UACGGGGGGGGCAAGCGUUGUUCGGAAUUACUGGGCGUAAAGGGCGCGUAGGCGGUUUGCUAAGUUGGAUGUGAAAACUCUGGGCUUAACCCAGAGCCUGCAUCCAAAACUAGCAGGCUAGAGUUCUGGAGGGGAUAGCGGAAUUCCUGGUGUAGCGGUGAAAUGCGUAGAUAUCAGGAGGAACACCGAUGGCGAAGGCAGGUCUCUGGGCAUUAACUGACGCUGAGGAGCGAAAGCAUGGGGAGCGAACAGG
rnacentral:rRNA from 1 species